GGAAGUAUAAGUCGUAACAAGGUUUCCGUAGGUGAACCUGCGGAGGGAUCAUUCAUAAUAAGUGUUUUAUGGCACUUUUUUAAAUCCAUAUCCACCUUGUGUGCAAUGUCAGGGUUGAUUUUUCUCUCGAGAGGAUCAACCCCAAACAUCAACUAUAUCUCAACUCUUUGUCUGAAAAAUAUUAUGAAUAAAACAAUUCGGAAUACAACUUUCAACAACGGAUCUCUUGGCUCUC
rnacentral:misc_RNA from 1 species